GACUGAUCAAUUUAUUGAGCAGUUAGUGGCGAAAGGGUGAGUAAUGGAUAGGUAACGUACCCCGUGCUCUGGAAUAGCGUCGUUCGCCUUCGGGCGAGCGUCCGAAAGGGGCGGUAAUUCCGGAUAAUAUCAUUUGUCGACGGGCGAAUGUUCAAGGAUUUAUCGGCACGGGAGCGGCCUAUCUCCUAUCAGCUUGUUGGUAGGGUAAAGGCCUACCAAGGCUGCGACGGGUAGCGGGACUGAGAGGUUGGCCCGCCACAUCGGGACUGAGACACUGCCCGGACCUCCACGGAGGGCUGCAGUAACGAAUCUUGCGCAAUGGGCGAAAGCCUGACGCAGCGACGCCGCGUGUGGGAAGAAGUCUUUCGGGAUGUAAACCGCUGUCAGGGAUAAGAAAGUCCGCUUCGGCGGAUUGAUCUAACCCAGAGGAAGUCACGGCUAACUUCGUGCCAGCAGCCGCGGUAAGACGAAGGUGGCAAGCGUUGUUCGGUGUCACUGGGCUUAAAGCGUGUGUAGGCGGAAAAGUAAGCGUCCUGUGAAAGCCCUCGGCUUAACCGAGGAAUUGCUUGACGAACUGCUUUUCUUGAGUCAAGCAGGGGUGCAUGGAACUCUUGGUGGAGCGGUGGAAUGCGUAGAUAUCAAGAGGAACGCCUGUGGUGAAAACGGUGCACUGGGCUUGUACUGACGCUGAGACACGAAAGCGUGGGGAGCGAACGGGAUUAGAUACCCCGGUAGUCCACGCCGU
rnacentral:rRNA from 1 species